rnacentral:hammerhead_ribozyme from 1 species
AUCUGGAUGAUGAGUCCGAAAUAGGACGAAAUGAGCAUUCUGCAU